GCCGGCGUAGCUCAGUCAGGCAGAGCAGGGGCCUUUUAAGCCUUUGGUCCAGGGUUCGAAUCCCUGCGCCGGCACCA
rnacentral:tRNA from 1 species